AGUGAACGCUGGCGGUAGGCCUAACACAUGCAAGUCGAACGGCAGCACAGUAAGAGCUUGCUCUUACGGGUGGCGAGUGGCGGACGGGUGAGGAAUACAUCGGAAUCUACUUUUUCGUGGGGGAUAACGUAGGGAAACUUACGCUAAUACCGCAUACGACCUACGGGUGAAAGCAGGGGAUCUUCGGACCUUGCGCAAUUGAAUGAGCCGAUGUCGGAUUAGCUAGUUGGCGGGGUAAAGGCCCACCAAGGCGACGAUCCGUAGCUGGUCUGAGAGGAUGAUCAGCCACACUGGAACUGAGACACGGUCCAGACUCCUACGGGAGGCAGCAGUGGGGAAUAUUGGACAAAGGGCGCAAGCCUGAUCCAGCCAUACCGCGUGGGUGAAGAAGGCCUUCGGGUUGUAAAGCCCUUUUGUUGGGAAAGAAAAGCAGCAGGUUAAUACCCCGCUGUUCUGACGGUACCCAAAGAGUAAGCCCCGGCUAACUUCGUG
rnacentral:rRNA from 1 species